UACGAAGGGGGCUAGCGUUGCUCGGAAUCACUGGGCGUAAAGCGCACGUAGGCGGCCUACUAAGUCGGACGUGAAAUCCCUCGGCUCAACCGAGGAACUGCGUCCGAUACUGGCAGGCUGGAAUCCGGGAGAGGGAUGUGGAAUUCCAGGUGUAGCGGUGAAAUGCGUAGAUAUCGAGAGGAACACCUGCGGCGAAGGCGGGUAGCUGGGCCGACACUGACGCUGAUGCGCGAAAGCCAGGGGAGCGAACGGG
rnacentral:rRNA from 1 species